GGGCCUAGCGGAUUGCCUCAGUAGCGGCGAGUGAAGCGGCAAGAGCUCAGAUUUGAAAUCGUGCUUUGCGGCACGAGUUGUAGAUUGCAGGUUGGAGUCUGUGUGGAAGGCGGUGUCCAAGUCCCUUGGAACAGGGCGCCCAGGAGGGUGAGAGCCCCGUGGGAUGCCGGCGGAAGCAGUGAGGCCCUUCUGACGAGUCGAGUUGUUUGGGAA
rnacentral:rRNA from 1 species